CUCCCUUGGCUGAGAAGCAACCCGACACAUGAAUGAUCUCAGGAUGCUUUACUGUUGGCAUGACACAGGACUAAUAGUAGCGCUUGCCUUUUCUUCUACAGACCAGGUAUUUUCCCAAAACAAUCGGAAAGGGAAUUCAUCAGAGAAAAUGACUUUACCCCAGUCCUCAGCAGUCCAAUCCCUGUACCUUUUGCAGAAUAUCAGUCUGUCCCUGAUGUUUUUCCUGGAGACAAGUGGCUUCUUUGCUGCCCUUCUUGACACCAGGCCAUACUCCAAAAGUCUUUGCCUCACUGUGCGUGCAGAUGAACUCACAUCUGCCUGCUGCCAUUCCUGAGCAAGCGCUGCACUGGUGGCACUCCGAUCCCCGC